UUUUUUUUUUUGUUUUUACAAAUUGAAGGUCUGUGGCAACCCUGCAUCAAGUAAGCCUAUCAGUGCCAUUUUUCCAAUAGUAUUUGCUCAGUGUGUGUCUCUGUGCCACAUUUUGGUAAUUCUUGCAAUAUUUCAAACUUUUUCAUUAUUAUGUUUAUAAUGCUAUCUGUGAUCAGCGAUCUUUGAUAUUAUUAUCAUUGUUUCCCCGAGACCAAUAAUGUUGAAAUUAGGCCAAUUAAUAAUCCUACAAUGGCCUCUAAGUGCUCAAGUGAAAGGAAGAGUUGCAUCUCUCUCACUUUAAUCCAAAAGCUAGAAAUGAUUAUGUUUAGUGAAGGAGGCAUGUAGAAAGCUGAGAUGGGCCAAAAGCUAAGCCUCUUGCAUGAAAGUUAGCCAAAUUGUGAAUUCAAAGGUAAGUUCUUGAAGAAAAGGGAAGGUGCUACUCCAGUAAACACAUGAAUGGUAAGAAAGUGAAACAGCCUUACUGGUGACACAGAGAAGUUUGAGUGUCUGGAUAGAAGCUCAAACCAUCUGCAAUAUUCCCUUAUGCCAAAGCCUAAUCCAGAGAAGGCCUGAACUUCUUCAAUUCUAUGAUGGCUGAGAGAGGCGAGGGAGCUUCAGAAGACAAGUCUGGAGCUAGCAGAAGCUAGUUCAUGAGGGUUAAGGUAAAAAGCCAUCUUUAUAACAUCAAAGCGCAAGGUGAAACACCAAGUGCCGAUGGAGAAGUUGCAGCAAGUUAUCCGGAAGAUCCAGCUAAGAUAAUUCAUUAAAGUAGCUACACUUUACUGAACAAAAGAUUUUCAAUGUAGAUGAAAAAAAGUGUAUGUUGGAAGAAGACACCAACCACCUAGGACUUUCAUAGCUAGAGAGAAGUCAAUGUCUGGCUUCAGAACUUAAAAGGACAGGCUGACUCUUGUUGGGAGCUAAUGCAGCAGGUGACUUUAAAUUGAAGCCAGUGUUCAUUUAUCAUUCCUCAAAUCCUAGGCCCUUACAAGUUCUGGUAAAUCUACUCUGGUUGUGCUCUAUUAGUGGGACAAUGAAGCCUGGAAGACAACUCAUCUGUUUACAACAUGGUUUAUUGAACAUUUUAAGCUCACUGUUGAGCCCUACUGCUCAGAGAAGAAGAUUCCUUUUGAAAUAUGACUGCUCACUGACAAUGCAUCUGGUCACCCAAAAACUCUGAUGGAGGUGGACGUCAACGUUUUUCAUGCCUGCUAUCACAACGUCCAUUCUGUGGCCCAUGGAUCAAGGAAUAAUUUCAACUUUUGAGUGUUUUUAUUUAAGAAAUAUAUUUCAUAAGGCUACAACUGCCAUAGAUAGCUUAUUCCUCUAUUGGAUCUGGUCAAAGUAAAUUGAAAAUCUUCUGAAAGGAUCCACCAUUCUAGAUGCCAUUAAGAACAGUUAUGAUUCAUGAGAAGAUGUCAGAAUAUCAACAUGAACAGGAGUUUGGAAGAAGUUGAUUCCAAUCUUGAAGGAUGACUUUGAGGAGUUCAAGACUUCAGUGGAGGAAGUCACCGCAGAUGUGGUGGGAAAAGCAAGAGAAUGAAUUGCUGUGAUCUCAUGGUAAAACUUAGAGGGAUGAGAAGUUGCUUCUCAUGAGCAAAGAAAGUGAUUUCUAGAGAUGAAAUCCACCCCUGAUGAGGAUAUUGUGAAGACUGUUGAAAUGACAACAAAGAAUUUACAAUAUUCUGUAAAUUUAGUUGAUAAAGCAGCAGCAGGGUUUGAGGACUGGCUCCAAUUUUGAAAGAAGUUCUACUGUGGAUAAAAUGCUAUUAAUUGGCAUCACAUUACAGAGAAAUUGUUCAUGAAAGGAAGAGUCAAUUAGUGUGGCACACUUCACUGUUGUCCUAUUUUAAGAAACUGCCACAGCCACCCCAGCCCUUAGCAUCACCUUCCUGGUCAGUCAACAGCCAUCAACAUCGAGGCCACACCCUCUGUCAGCGAAAAGAUUACAACUUGCCGAAAGCUCAGAUAUGGUUAGCAUUUUUUGGCAAUAAAGUAUUUUAAAGUUAAGGUAUGUAAAUUUUUUUUUUCCUAGACAUGAUGCUACUGCACACUUGAUAGCCUACGGUAUAGUGUACACAGAACUUCUAUUUGUACUGGGAAACCAAAAUAUUCAUCUGACUUGCUUUAUU
rnacentral:lncRNA from 1 species